UGCAAGCCAACAGUUGCCAUAUGCUAAACUACUCAGUGAAAGCACGUUCCGGCCGAUCUUCCUACUUGUUGAGAAGACAUGAAAACCAGGCCGAAAAGAUUAUCGGCCUCAGAGAUAUUUCUAACGGCGAGUAAGCAAGGAGAGCCACGAUGGACAGCGCUUCAACCACGGCGUACGCCUUCCUUUUUACUGCCGCCUUCAUUGUCGGACCGGCGCGACGUUCGGCAGUGGCUUCCAAGGAGCCCGACGUGUAUGGUCCUUACAACACCUACUACAACAUCAAGCUCCUGGAGACGGGAAAGUGGACGUCCUGUCUCCAGUGCUUCGUUAGGCCUUGCUCCCCUGGCGAGAGGCUCAUGCGUCCCAUGGACGAGAUGAACCUGUGUUGCAGAUUCUGCAGGACGCGGCGACAUGGUGAGAAGUGUGGCGCCUUCAGGACUGAUCCAGCAGUCGUCUGUCCACGAGACCACUACUGUCGUAUAAGCACGAGACAGUGCGAAUAUCGACCAUGACACUAAGCUGCUGCGGGAUAUUUCGUACGAGAGCUAAGCGAAUACCGACAUGUCCAACUCCGAUGUAUUCGAUUCCACUGUAGAGCAAAAUGAAUUUCGUUACUGAAA